CUCACCCCCCACUAUUUAUUUUGGAGUCAUUCAGUCCUGCUUUCGUAGUCAGAUUAUUAAGUUGUGUCCGCCACUGCCGUCCACCAUCAAGCUCCAUCCUACGUCGGUGGUUACACCUGAAACCAGUGCACGACACGGGUUACCUGUGCGUAGUUCUCCGCCCGGGUGAGGAGGGGCAGCUCGUAAGCCGAGGAGAAGUGCGUCCGGACCUGCUGCAUCUGGCCAAAGCGCUCCCUCUUUCUCCAUUUGGCGCGGCGGUUCUGGAACCACACCUGCAGGAAGACUGGAGGUCAGGGCCCGGUAUUCAAGAGCAAGAAAGGACCCUACGGCUACCAUUCAUACUCCUACAAAUGCAUCUCCUGUACCAGAGCGACCGCACGGCAGUCAGAAUGAACACUAAAGUCCUUCUUCCUCUUUCGGUGAAGUCCUGGAUCUCCAGGGUGGUGUCUGAAACCACAGCAGGGCCGCGGUGUUUUCAUGAGAGCGGUGGAAUGUAUAAUAAGAGGCGCGAGCCGAUCCCUGUCAUGCUGGGUCUGGGGGUGAAGACCCGUUAGCAUUUCCCCACGUUGACCUGUCAGCUGGGCUUUCAGGCCGUGCUCUGUCUCGUCCCCACGUCCCAUUGAGGAGGCACCAGUUGGCUAUGGACUUAGAAGACUCAUUGCUGGCCCGUCUUAGUCAUGCCAGAUUGAUCUUGAUAUGAUUUGCUGCAUUAAAAUGAAAGCAAUGAAAGUAAAAUGAUUCCAGGUCCUUGUCACCUUAUCUUAUGUCAACGAUCUGCCAGAAUCAACCUUUUGUUCUUCGGGUUCUAAGGCCUUGCUGGCUACUUUGUACGUAAACUCUGCGCAUAUACAGCUGUGGAAAUGGGAGAAGACAAAAAUACAACCGACUUAAGUUAAGAAUGGGUAAAAGUAAAAUCGACAGGCCGUCCUAGAUGUCCUGAAACCUGACUCCGCAAAACCCAGUAGACAGAGUGACUACAGCCCCAGAUCCCCUUCAGUUCAGUGCGGCCUUGAGACUCUUAAAAUGUGAGUACGGUCUGUCUGCUUCACUUUCACGAGUGGUGGAUUCAAAAGACAGAGCAGAGUGUGGACGAGGGGACCAAAUAUGACAAUAAUAUAUCUUUCAUUGUUCAUCAGAUUGCAAAAGAGCAGACACUGCACUCAAGAUUUAACCGGCCUUGUGGCUUCUGUAAUGAUGCCACUUAAAGCACAUUUGCAUACCAAAGACUUCUUGGAGUGAUUUAACUGGAAUGAAAUGCUAUGACUUCCGACGCGCACACACUUGCAUACUAGGGUG